ACGCACGCUGGCGGCGUGCUUAACCCAUGCCAGUCGAACGGAAAGGCCCCUUUGGGGGUACUCGAGUGGCGAACGGGUGAGUAACACGUGAGUAACCUGCCCUUGACUUCGGGAUAACUUCAGGAAACUGGGGCUAAUACCGGAUAGGAAUCCUUGCUGCAUGGUGGGGGUUGGAAAGCUUCGGCGGUUUUGGAUGGACUCGCGGCUUAUCAGCUUGUUGGUGGGGUAGUGGCUUACCAAGGCUUUGACGGGUAGCCGGCCUGAGAGGGCGACCGGCCACAUUGGGACUGAGAUACGGCCCAGACUCCUACGGGAGGCAGCAGUGGGGAAUAUUGCACAAUGGGCGGAAGCCUGAUGCAGCAACGCCGCGUGCGGGAUGACGGCCUUCGGGUUGUAACCCGCUUUCAGCAGGGGCGAAGCUUGUGGUGACGGUACCUGCAGAAGAAGCACCGGCUAACUACGUG
rnacentral:rRNA from 1 species